UACGUAGGGCGCAAGCGUUGUCCGGAAUUAUUGGGCGUAAAGAGCUCGUAGGCGGCUUGUCACGUCGGGUGUGAAAGCCCGGGGCUUAACCCCGGGUCUGCAUUCGAUACGGGCUAGCUAGAGUGUGGUAGGGGAGAUCGGAAUUCCUGGUGUAGCGGUGAAAUGCGCAGAUAUCAGGAGGAACACCGGUGGCGAAGGUGGGUCUCUGGGCCGAUACUGACGCUGAGGAGCGAAAGCGUGGGGAGCGAACAGG
rnacentral:rRNA from 1 species